rnacentral:rRNA from 1 species
AUUGAACGCUGGCGGCAGGCCUAACACCUGCAAGUCGAACGAGUGGCGGACGGGUGAGUAAUGUCUGGGAAACUGCCUGAUGGCGGGGGAUAACUACUGGAAACGGUAGCUAAUACCGCAUACCAUCAGAUGUGCCCAGAUGGGAUUAGCUUGUUGGUGGGGUAACGGCUCACCAAGGGGACUAUCCCUAGCUGGUCUGAGAGGAUGACCGGCCACUCUGAAACUGAGAAACAGUCCAGACUCCUACGGGAGGCAGCAGGGGGGAAUAUUGCACAAUGGGCGCGAGCCUGAUGCAGCCAUGCCGCGUGUAUGAAGAAGGCCUUCGGGUUGUAAAGUACUUUCAGCGGGGAGGCGUUACCCGCAGAAGAAGCACCGGCUUACUCCAUGCCAGCAGCCGCGGUAAUUC